AAAUUGAAGAGUUUGAUCAUGGCUCAGAUUGAACGCUGGCGGCAGGCCUAACACAUGCAAGUCGAACGGUAACAGGAAACAGCUUGCUGUUUCGCUGACGAGUGGCGGACGGGUGAGUAAUGUCUGGGAAACUGCCUGAUGGAGGGGGAUAACUACUGGAAACGGUAGCUAAUACCGCAUAACGUCGCAAGACCAAAGAGGGGGACCUUCGGGCCUCUUGCCAUCGGAUGUGCCCAGAUGGGAUUAGCUAGUAGGUGGGGUAACGGCUCACCUAGGCGACGAUCCCUAGCUGGUCUGAGAGGAUGACCAGCCACACUGGAACUGAGACACGGUCCAGACUCCUACGGGAGGCAGCAGUGGGGAAUAUUGCACAAUGGGCGCAAGCCUGAUGCAGCCAUGCCGCGUGUAUGAAGAAGGCCUUCGGGUUGUAAAGUACUUUCAGCGGGGAGGAAGGGAGUAAAGUUAAUACCUUUGCUCAUUGACGUUACCCGCAGAAGAAGCACCGGCUAACUCCGUGCCAGCAGCCGCGGUAAUACGGAGGGUGCAAGCGUUAAUCGGAAUUACUGGGCGUAAAGCGCACGCAGGCGGUUUGUUAAGUCAGAUGUGAAAUCCCGGGCUCAACCUGGGAACUGCAUCUGAUACUGGCAAGCUUGAGUCUCGUAGAGGGGGGUAGAAUUCCAGGUGUAGCGGUGAAAUGCGUAGAGAUCUGGAGGAAUACCGGUGGCGAAGGCGGCCCCCUGGACGAAGACUGACGCUCAGGUGCGAAAGCGUGGGGAGCAAACAGGAUUAGAUACCCUGGUAGUCCACGCCGUAAACGAUGUCGACUUGGAGGUUGUGCCCUUGAGGCGUGGCUUCCGGAGCUAACGCGUUAAGUCGACCGCCUGGGGAGUACUAGCCGCAAGGUUAAAACUCAAAUGAAUUGACGGGGGCCCGCACAAGCGGUGGAGCAUGUGGUUUAAUUCGAUGCAACGCGAAGAACCUUACCUGGUCUUGACAUCCACGGAAGUUUUCAGAGAUGAGAAUGUGCCUUCGGGAACCGUGAGACAGGUGCUGCAUGGCUGUCGUCAGCUCGUGUUGUGAAAUGUUGGGUUAAGUCCCGCAACGAGCGCAACCCUUAUCCUUUGUUGCCAGUGGUCCGGCCGGGAACUCAAAGGAGACUGCCAGUGAUAAACUGGAGGAAGGUGGGGAUGACGUCAAGUCAUCAUGGCCCUUACGACCAGGGCUACACACGUGCUACAAUGGCGCAUACAAAGAGAAGCGACCUCGCGAGAGCAAGCGGACCUCAUAAAGUGCGUCGUAGUCCGGAUUGGAGUCUGCAACUCGACUCCAUGAAGUCGGAAUCGCUAGUAAUCGUGGAUCAGAAUGCCACGGUGAAUACGUUCCGGGCCUUGUACACACCGCCCGUCACACCAUGGGAGUGGGUUGCAAAAGAAGUAGGUAGCUUAACCUUCGGGAGGGCGCUUACCACUUUGUGAUUCAUGACUGGGGUGAAGUCGUAACAAGGUAACCGUAGGGGAACCUGCGGUUGGAUCACCUCCUUA
rnacentral:rRNA from 1 species